rnacentral:snoRNA from 1 species
GGAUCGAUGAUGACACCCUAAUCAGCAUCCCUUGGAAAAGCUGAACAAAAUGAGUGAGAAAUCCCUUCCGUGUCCUCUCAUCGAACUGAGGUCC